rnacentral:rRNA from 1 species
UUCGUAGGGCGCAAGCGUUGUCCGGAAUUAUUGGGCGUAAAGAGCUCGUAGGCGGUUUGUCGCGUCUGCUGUGAAAACCUAAGGCUCAACCUUGGGCUUGCAGUGGGUACGGGCAGACUAGAGUGCGGUAGGGGUGACUGGAAUUCCUGGUGUAGCGGUGAAAUGCGCAGAUAUCAGGAAGAACACCGGUGGCGAAGGCGGUGGGCUGGGCCGGCACUGACGCUGAGGAGCGAAAGCGUGGGGAGCGAACAGG